UAGAGCUGCAGUACUGUCAAGAAUCAAAUGCAACACGAACAACAAAGAAGAGAUCUACUCUUGUGAGUCGACAUAUUGAGUCAAGGGUGUUCGUGAAUUAGAGAAGUAGUUGUGAAUCGCUUCAAGGUUGAUCAAGGUGAAUAUUUCAGGUGGAAAUUGAUUGAUGCAUACGGGAGUCCACGGGAAUUUCACCUAGCUAGGAAAAGUUUGAGUCAUUUUUGUGUCACGAAUUAUGAACGAAUAUUUACUAUGGUUUAUUUAAUAAAGAAUAAAGUUUUCCGCUGCAAAAGUAUUUUUGUAUAAGCCU